CCACUGUAGUUACUCAUAUUGAU
rnacentral:snRNA from 1 species